AACGCACAUUGCGCCCGCUGGUAUUCCGGCGGGCAUGCCUGUUCGAGCGUCAUUAUCCCCUCUCAAACCUCGGGUUUGGUGUUGGACCACGUCGCGGUCAUUCGCGACCGGUCUGAAAGGCAAUGACGGCGUCCGUGUGGUCCCCGGUACAAUGAGCUUGUCACGAGCACGUACCGACGAACUACACGGACCCGGUCGACCGAGAGCUUGCUCUCAACUUCGUACGGUUGACCUCGGAUCAGGUAGGAAUACCCGCUGAACUUAA
rnacentral:misc_RNA from 1 species